UACGGAGGGGGCUAGCGUUGUUCGGAAUUACUGGGCGUAAAGCGCACGUAGGCGGCUUUGCAAGUUAGAGGUGAAAGCCCAGGGCUUAACUCUGGAAUUGCCUUUAAGACUGCAUCGCUAGAAUCGUGGAGAGGUGAGUGGAAUUCCGAGUGUAGAGGUGAAAUUCGUAGAUAUUCGGAAGAACACCAGUGGCGAAGGCGACUCACUGGACACGUAUUGACGCUGAGGUGCGAAAGCGUGGGGAGCAAACAGG
rnacentral:rRNA from 1 species